CUUCUUUUCUUUUCUUCCUCUUUCGUUCGACGUCGACGGUCAGGCCAAGCCAAACCGCCGCUGCAACCGUCGGCCGCCGUCUCUGUUGCGAAGCAAGGCCGCCGCGUGACCUUCCGCCCACCGCCGUGUGACCCUCUGUCCAGAUCUGCACCGCUAGAUCGAGCCGUCCACCGGUUUCGUCUGUUUCUGUCUCCGUUCACCGAAGUCGAACCCAACCGCCACCCUUUCUUUUCUUCUUCGAUCCAAAAACUGCCGCUGCAACCGUCAGCCGCCGCGUGACCUCUGCCCAGCACCGCCGCGCGACCUCUGUCUCUGCGCCGUUACCCAGAUCUGCGUCGCCGUGCCCCAUCCUAAUCGUCUCUGUCUCUGUCGAAGUUUUGUUGGUAAGAUUGAAGUUAUGAAAUUGUAGUC
rnacentral:lncRNA from 1 species